GCAAUUGUUCAGAUGAGGAGUUGUAGCAGGGAAAGUAUUGUGAGUAGUCUCAGUGAGUCUAGAGGAAUGAAGUGAUCACAACUCUAAUAUUCCUUUUCCUUAGGUUGGUUUUGCAUUCUCGUAAGUCAUCGCAGCAGUUGCAUAAAUCCUGGUUUUUCAUUAUCUCGAGUGCUCGCAGCAGUUGCAUGAUUCUUUGCAUUCUUUGUCGAAGUUAGCAUGAUGGUGCAAUAAGAUAGAGUUUGUUUAAAUAGUUGUGCUUUUUUAAACAUAGGGAUUGGACGGUUAUCAAAAAAAAAAAACAUAGGGAUUGGCAAUUAGAAUGCUGUCACCAGAAUAUGGCAGAUAAGAAAAAGGAAGUACCAGUGAUGCAGGUGCAGAGAGAGUUUCUGUAGCAUGUGAAGAGUCACGAUGUUUCUUUUGGUCUUAUACCUCUUAUCAAGAAAGAUAUUACUGGAGGUUAAGAUUUACCCUAUAAAAAGAGGAUGGAGGUUGAGAUUUACCCCCAAGAAUAAUUAUCUAUAUGGUAGGAUUAAUGCUUUGAACUUUUGUCUGUUGUUGAGGAUCACUAUAAGCAGGGAUAACUUCUGUAAUAUGAUGCUAAGGGGACCCUUAUUAUGAAAGCCAAAGGGUUCAUUUUUUAUUCACAGUCUGUACUUUACUAUCAUAAUGAGUUUCAAUUUAACUAUCUGUAAAACAUGAAUAUCAUUACAAACAGAAGUACAAUCACAUUCUGUCAACUGGAUGAUAAAAAUAAUAAUGUGGAAGUCGAUGUUGAGACCCUACAAUUUUGAGUUAGGGGUAUGGAAAUGAAUUUGUAAGAAAUUUCCUUUCUUUUUCCUCAAUAGAGGCUUGGAACAAAAGUUCCUGUGGGAUGUGCCCCUUUUCCAGCUUGCCUGAGUUGUAUGGAAUGAUUACUUAUAUUGAAGUAUCUAGCACAGGAGUUUAUUAGGCUUUGAUAAGAAUAUUCGGAUAUGUGAAAAGCUAACCCUCUGUUUCUUGCUCAUUUAUAAUGAAGACAUUUGGAUGUAUCACUUUUGAGUAGACUUAUGAUCCUUCUAUUAUUAAAGCAGUAAGGAAAAAAAUGAUGGAUGAUGCCUCUCAUGGAAAUAUUUUGUAAAAGUGAAUUUGAAAAUAACAAGGGUGUUUUGCAAAUUAUAUGAGCUUAAAAGAUGUUGAAUGAAUGA
rnacentral:lncRNA from 1 species